rnacentral:rRNA from 1 species
GACGAACGCUGGCGGCGUGCUUAACACAUGCAAGUCGAACGGAAAGGCCCUGCUUUUGUGGGGUGCUCGAGUGGCGGACGGGUGAGUAACACGUGAGUAACCUGCCCUUGACUUUGGGAUAACUUCAGGAAACUGGGGCUAAUACAGGAUAGGAGCUCCUGCUGCAUGGUGGGGGUUGGAAAGUUUCGGCGGUUGGGGAUGGACUCGCGGCUUAUCAGCUUGUUGGUGGGGUAGUGGCUUACCAAGGCUUUGACGGGUAGCCGGCCUGAGAGGGUGACCGGCCACAUUGGGACUGAGAUACGGCCCAGACUCCUACGGGAGGCAGCAGUGGGGAAUAUUGCACAAUGGGCGGAAGCCUGAUGCAGCAACGCCGCGUGCGGGAUGACGGCCUUCGGGUUGUAAACCGCUUUCGCCUGUGACGAAGCGUGAGUGACGGUAAUGGGUAAAGAAGCACCGGCUAACUACGUG